CCUACGGGAGGCAGCAGUGAGGAAUAUUGGUCAAUGGGCGGAAGCCUGAACCAGCCAAGUCGCGUGAGGGAUUAAGGCCCUGCGGGUCGUAAACCUCUUUUGCCGGGGAGCAGAGGUCCGGACGUGUCCGGGCCGGGAGAGUACCCGGAGAAAAAGCAUCGGCUAACUCCGUGCCAGCAGCCGCGGUAAUACGGAGGAUGCGAGCGUUAUCCGGAUUUAUUGGGUUUAAAGGGUGCGUAGGCGGGCAUUUAAGCCGGCGGUCAAAUGUCGGGGCUCAACCCCGGCCUGCCGUCGGAACUGGGUGCCUUGAGUGGGCGAGAAGUAGGCGGAAGGCGUGGUGUAGCGGUGAAAUGCAUAGAUAUCACGCAGAACCCCGAUUGCGAAGGCAGCAUACCGGAGCCCGACUGACGCUGAGGCACGAAAGUGCGGGUAUCGAACAGGAUUAGAUACCCUAGUAGUC
rnacentral:rRNA from 1 species